rnacentral:sRNA from 1 species
AAAGUUAAAAGAAAUGUUUUGAAAGAAAACUGUGAAUGCUCUAACAUUCUUUUCUAGUGGCUUGGGCCCCUAGGGAUAUCUCCUGAAGGUCAUUCUCGGCGACAGAAAAGAUCCAUGCAAAGGAUAAGAGAAGGAAGUGCCAAUUCGUGUGCACAGGGAAUCUGAGUGCAUGGUUGCUCCUGAAAUGAGAGUUUCAUGUAGAAAAGUGAGGUGAAAGUUGGAAAUAUUGCUAGCAUCAGGUCGUAGUAGUAUUGAGCACAGGGCCUAAGAGCCUUACCAACACUUUAGGUCAAGACCAAAGAUUCUCCAUUGAAAGUUAAAAUUGAACAAAAUCUUUUCAACACCAGGUCUACAUUUGUUCUCCUCUGGACAUCAUUCUAUUUUGUAAUGGUUGAGCCUUUUAAAAAAAGCAGCUCCAAAGGUCAUUGGUUGAAGCUUCGUCCCCAGCUGUUGUCACUAUUGAGAGGCGAUUGGGCCAUGAAGACUUAACUUCAUUAACGGAUUAAUCAACUGGUAGAUUUAUAGCUGAAUGGACUAUUAGGGUGAAGCCUGGCUGGAAGGAGCAGGACCAGGAGGGGCCUUUGAAAGGCACCUCAGGUCUUUGGCCCCUUUCUGUCUUGCUCUGCUUCCAUUUAUACGAGGUAAGCAACUCUGAGCCAUCUCCUGGGAUGCUCGACUUCAUACAGGCCGGUGCUGUUGGCUUGAAACUGCUGCAACUGCGAGCCAGAAUCUUUUUCCCUGCAUUAGUUGUCACGUGCUGAUCUUUGAUACUCAAAGGUCCGUGAAUCCUGUGGCCUAUGUUCCGGGUAGAAGAAAAGUAUAAAGUCUGCCUUGCUGAAUGGGCUGUCUGCACAGAGGAGUCAAGAGGAACCCGGUGUACCCUGAGGCAGGAGAUGGGACCAGGGGAGGACUCAGAAGCUGGUGGAGGAAGGUCCUUUCUGAGCAGCUCUGACUCCGUUCUUUAGGAUGCGGCAGCCAUUGGGAAGUGUAUAGGUUGCCAACUCUUGUGGGAGAAAGCAGAGAAGCCAAACUGGGCAGAAGGGGAAACGAGGCUGAAAUUCAGUCUCACCAAAGACCCCAUGGCACAAGGAUCUCCUCUAUUGUCUUUCUAUGCAUAGCAAACUAACCCUGUGUUUUGUCUCACUGCCAUGGAGUUGCACUGUGCUGUCUGACAUCUGUUCCAGAGAGAAGGAAUGAGUUCUCCAGCUGAUGGACAUGAUACUUGCACAUAGUCUGUAAAUCAAAAGCUAGUGACCUUUUACAGUUGUUGGGAGUCGGGGAUUUGUGUCAGAUACUUCUGUUCUCCUGUGGAUCUGUCUUUGAGUGCCCUGUGCUCUCACUAACUCCCUCCAUCCCCAACCUCAGGAAGGUCCUAUUGCCCAGGCAAAGCAGCUUUGUGAAGAGCAGUUCCCUGAGAGGGAUGGACACCUAUGGGCUGUUUACAAACUUGUCCAGAAGCUGUGGGGAUGGUGGUUGAGGGCGGAGAUAGAAUGACAUAGUUUCAACUCCAAUGAGACAAGCAUAAUAUAUAAUAUUAUAUAUUGUCUCCACAAACCUUAUUUUCUACUUGUUUGAUACUUUUGCUUUAUUACUCAAGACAAGAAAUUUCUAAGAUAUCCCUAUCUCUUUUUGUAAUUUUAUUUCAAGGGAUUCUUGCUAAGUUGCCCGGACUGGUCUUGAACUUGUGACCCUCUUGCCUCAGCUUCUUGAGUAGAUGGGAUUGUAGCCCUGCCACAGCAGAUUCAAGCCAUAGCAUAUGGCUUUAGUACUGUCAGUCCUACCACUGGUGAGGUGUUUGAUAUUUUAUGGCCUUUUGUGCCUGUCAUAUACUCAUGAGAGACACCACCCGUCAAGGAAUUUGUGAGCCUCGUGUGUCACACAUGAGCUGAAUGCAAAAAAAAAAGUGUUAUCUCCACACUACUGUUUAUACAAAAUUAGGCACAGAAGACAGAAUUGACCCAUAGAGAGAAAACAGAUAUGGUCUAUAUGCGAUAAUUUUCCAGUAUUAUGGUUACUUCCUUAUUCCUAAAUGAGCAAAGAGAAUAUACAAUCAAGAAGUAGCUGAGUUAUAGACCUGGAGAAGUUACUUUAGAGUGUAUCUCCCUCAAUUGCCUUAUCUACAGAUGAAGCAAAUAAAGAACAAAGAUAAAGUUAAUGACUUGAUGGAGUUCAUGGCAGUGACUUGAAUUAAAUCCAGGCCACUGGGCUUUAUGUUCAGUAACACUCUAUUGGGUCGGGCCACAUCAAAACACACUGCACCUGGAUUGUCUUCAUAGUUCAUGCCAGUUCUAAUUCGCUGAUAGAGGCUGCCUAUGUUUAGGAGAAUGGAGGCCACUCAAGUCAGAGGUUUUGUAUGAUCAUCUAAUGAAAUUAAGAUUUGUGGAAGCAAGAUGACUGCUACCUGUGAGAGGAAACGCCAUGUUGGGUUUCAAUCAAGCUUAAAGUCUAACCAGAUUGCUUCCUCCUCCCCUCCACCUCUCACAGAAUAUGGUCUUAGGAGUUUUGUAGGGUUUCUUUUCCCCAAAGUGAAGAUGUCAAGAAUCAAAUAACCACAGAAUCCCCUCAGCUCCUCCCCAGUGCAUCCAGAAAUCUUCACAGAUGAGAUGAACGGGCUGAGUUGCACCGGGGAACCAAUCAUGAAACAGAAUCUAUUUCCAGAGCACCCUGAGCGAUGGCAGGAUGGAGCUAGCGCAUCCGUCCUUGUUCUUCCUGGUGAGGAGAGGUCAGGCUCCAGAGAAGGAGCUUAAUGGAAUAAGACUAAAUCAUUAUUGUGGCAAAACAUCCACGACAAACUUCAGGUUUAACGUUUAAACCAUUUUACAUAUCUAAUUUCACAACAUUAUCACUUUCACAAAGAUGUGCCACCACCAGGGUGCAUGUCCAGAACUUUUGUCAUCUCAAACAGAACUCUGAACUCAUUAAGCAAUAACACCAGAGUCCGUCCGUCUCUGGUAACCUCUACUCUCUAUUCCAAGUAUUCCUAUUUUAGGUGACCUAUGGGAAUACAUUUAUAAAACAUCUGUCCCUUCGUGCCUGUCUGUCUUCUUUUGGUAAGGGGGAAGAUUUCAAGCCAAGCUCUAGUACUUAGGACCUUCCUCAUGCUGAACAGUGUCCUUUUUAAGAGUUCACCACGUUUUGUAAUUUCUUAGGUCUGUGGAUGUACGUGGGCUGUCUCUGUUUCCCAGCUAUUGCAAGAAAUGCUACUAUAACUGGUGUGGGAUAGCAGGUUUGUUUGCAUGCUUUUCGUUCAGCUCCUGUCUGAUACAUCAGAGCAUGAAUUCCGUGGAGGUCAUCUAGUGCAGUCUCUCAAAACUAAAGGAAGAGGCAAAGGCCACACAACACCAAGACUCUCGUCCCUUUAAUGGCAGUACUGACAUGCUACGAAAGCCAUGUGCUAUGGUUUGAAUCUGAAAUGUGGCCCUCAGGAUGGUGUUUGUGUUCGCUCAAUCUCUACCUUGUGGCACUAUUAUUU